CAAUAGCGUAUAUUAAAGUUGUUGCAGUUAAAAAGCUCGUAGUUGGAUUUCUGCUGAGGACGAUCGGUCCGCCUACUGGGUGAGUAUCUGGCUCGGCCUUGGCAUCUUCUUGGAGAACGUUGCUGCACUUGACUGUGUGGCGCGGUAUCCAGGACUUUUACUUUGAGGAAAUUAGAGUGUUUCAAGCAGGCGCACGCCUUGAAUACAUUAGCAUGGAAUAAUGAGAUAGGACCUUGGUUCUAUUUUGUUGGUUUCUAGAGCUGAGGUAAUGAUUAAUAGGGAUAGUUGGGGGCAUUCGUAUUUAACUGUCAGAGGUGAAAUUCUUGGAUUUGUUAAAGAUGGACUACUGCGAAAGCAUUUGCCAAGGAUGUUUUCAUUGA
rnacentral:rRNA from 1 species